UACGUAGGGUGCAGGCGUUAAUCGGAAUUACUGGGCGUAAAGCGUGCGCAGGCGGUUUCUUAAGUCAGAUGUGAAAGCCCCGGGCUUAACCUGGGAACUGCGUUUGAAACUGGGAGACUAGAGUGUGGCAGAGGGGGGUGGAAUUCCACGUGUAGCAGUGAAAUGCGUAGAUAUGUGGAGGAACACCGAUGGCGAAGGCAGCCCCCUGGGUUAACACUGACGCUCAUGCACGAAAGCGUGGGGAGCAAACAGG
rnacentral:rRNA from 1 species